GCAAUCUAGAGCAAAUGGUUUCAACAGUAGGUCCGUGAACGGCUCAUUAAAUCAGCAAUCAUCUACCCAGUUCUGGAGGAGCAAUCCUCCCAUACGGAUAACCUCUGUAACCCUGAGGCUAAUACGUGUACGAAAAUGGUCGCUUCAUCAAACGUAGCGCCGGGAUUGGGAGUGUGGGACUAGGUGGUGUGCGGUUUGCGUGUGUUAAGCUGCGGUGUGCCUUGCGUGUGCGCAUUAUGCGUGGUUGUGGGUGAGGAGGGUGUGUGCGCUUUCGGGUGCGCUCUCCUUCUCGCCUCGCCGUGUGUAUGUGCGUGUGCUAUUUGUGCUCCUCCCGUUGGCCCCUCGCAAUUACUGUCGCUUACCCCCACAUUCUCGCCCGGUGAGACGGAAGUGGCUUGCAGUUGGCCGAUAACAAAACCAACGCCCGCGGCUAUAAACUCGUGCCUCGUGUGCGAGCCGGUCGUUUCAAAGGGCAGCGUUCUCCUUCGCACCUUGUGUGCAAUUAAGGUGAUACAGGCCAACCAUGUAAAAGCGCAUCAGUCCUUGUGACUGGCGCGGAACUGGACGAAUUUCUGCCUUAUCAGCUUUCGAUGACCGUGUAGUGAACGGCCAUGGCGAUAACGAGUCACGGGGAAUUAGGGUUCGACUCCGGAGAGGGCGCCUGAGAAACGGCGACCAGAUCUAAGGAUUGCAGCAGGCACGCAAAUUGCCCAAUAACAGCACGUUGUUGAGGCAGUGACGAGAAAUAACAACACCGGACGUAUCAAUAACGGCCGGUGAUUGUAAUGAACGGUAUCCAAAGCAACCGAUGAGUACCCAUUGGAGGGCAAGUCUGGUGCCAGCAGCCGCGGUAAUUCCAGCUCCAAUAGCAUUCACUAAUGUUGUUGCGGUUAAAAAGCUCGUAGUUGGAUCCGGAGCCCGGGAUUGCAGGUUUCGGUAGGGUUCUAAAGCUUAGGCUUCGGUUUGAGCUGGGAACACAACCGCCUGCACGAGAUCCUGGCUCUACAUACACGGGAUUCGGUUCUGCUGUCUGAUUCCUCCUUAAUUGGAGGAUGAAGCAAUUUCUGCAGCGUCCGUGGUUGUUACUGUGAACAAAACAGCAUGUCCAAAGUAAGCGCGGCACCCGCCAGUUCGCUUGAAUGUUUGAGCAUGGAAUGACAAGGGAGCGACCUCGAAGUUAGGAUCUCCUUGUUUGUUGGUUUUGAAGACUUCAUUGGGUAACAUAAGGCAGACGGUGCCGUGCCAUUGGGUUCGCCCUUUGGUGCGGUCUCUGCUUACAAACGGGAUCAAUCGGAGCACACGGUGGGGUACGUACUGCGGCGCUAGUGGUGAAAUACUCAGAUCGCCUCAUGACGAACAUCUGCGAAAGCAUUCCUCAAGCAUGCCUUCUUCAAUCAAGAGCGAGAGUAUGGGGAUCAAAGAUGAUUAGAUACCGUUGUAGUCCAUACCGUAAACGCUGCCGGUAAGGUGUCGGGGGCUUGCUCUGGCAUCCCGACUCCCUCGGAGCCACCCCCCAUAACGAGAAAUCCAAACCUGGGUUCCGGGGGGAGUACGCUCGCAAGAUCGAAACUUAAAGGAAUUGACGGAAUGGCACCACAAGGCGUGGAGUGUGCGGCUUAAUUUGACUCAACACGGGAAACCUUGCCAGGUCCGGACUUGCUGAGGAUUGACAGAUUGAGAGCUCUUUCUUGAUCGCAAGGGUGGUGGUGCAUGGCCGUGCUGGGUUGGUGGAGUGAUUUGUCUGCUUAAUUGCGAUAACGAACGAGAUCACAACCUCUCACUCGGCCCCUUGUUCGCACGUUGAGUAGGGGUGCCUCGAACGCCCGUUCCCACCGAUAUGUAUUGUGUGUGUGUGUGUACGCAUAUGAUGAGACUACUAAUGUAUCUGCGUGUGUGCGUCGGUUGUUGCUGCAUGUGUUCCGAAAGGAUAUCAUGUCGGUUGACGAUUUGAAACGCGCGUGCAUUUUACGGACGUGUCUUCUCUCUUGUGUUCAAUAUGCAUAUGGUGCAGAGGAGGGGGCGGGCGUUUGAGCAAUCAUGGCCCCGAGAGCAAGGGAGCUUUUCUUAGAGGGACUGGCAAUGCUUUUUCAAUUCCCGGAAGAAUGUGCCUUUCACAGGUCUGUGAUGCUCCGCGAUGUUCUGGACCGCACGCGCACUACACUGGCGUGGUCAACGAGCGACAAACCGUGCUUUAACGGUUCCUCCUUGGAAGCGAGAUCGGUAAUCUUUGCAAACCGUGUCGUGACUGGGGAUAGGUGAUUGCAAUUAUUUUCCCCGAACGAGGAAUGCCCAGUAGGGACGGCUCAUCAGGCCGCCCCGACUGCGUCCCUGGCAUUUGUACACACCGCCCGUCGUUGUGCUCGAUUGGUUGUUGCAUAGAGUUCUUCCAAGACUACGGAGUCAAGCUUGCUUUUCUCUGUCCUUCACGGGGUUGGUCAAAGU
rnacentral:rRNA from 1 species